ACCGUAUUGCUAAUUAAAACCGUAAUUUAUAUAUGUUCAUAUAAUUAUGUACAGUGAUUCCCGAUUUUACCCAAAUGCAAUGAUUCUAAUUCUAAAGGUAAAUGCCUAGUGUCUUAACACAGAAAGUAGACAAGACCAACGCAAAAAACGCGAAAAAAGUCUUAUCAUGAGUUACCACUAAAUUUAAUAAGACUACCAACGAAAACUAUGGUGUUAAACACUGAUCAUCAAGUCAAACAAUAAACAAUACGUAAAAUGAUGCUCAAUACAAUAUUUAUACAAUGUAUGAAUGAUAAACAUAUAUAAAUGUUAUUAAUUAAUACAGGAGUACCCAACCUAGGUUAAAGUUAUAGCUAUAACUCAAUAAGGACAACCGCCUCCCCCUUUUUAUCGGUGGCAAGAAAUAACUUUUGUCCCACUUCCCUCAUUCAAUUUAAGUUUAGUGCCACUGUAUGUAUACAUAAUAUACUUAAUUAAUUAAUAAUUCUAUUUUAUCACACAGAGCAAAUUUAUGGAUG